UACGUAGGGGGCAAGCGUUGUCCGGAUUUAUUGGGCGUAAAGAGCGUGUAGGCGGCUAGAUAGGUCCGUUGUGAAAACUCGAGGCUCAACCUCGAGACGUCGAUGGAAACCAUCUGGCUAGAGUCCGGAAGAGGAGAGUGGAAUUCCUGGUGUAGCGGUGAAAUGCGCAGAUAUCAGGAAGAACACCUAUAGCGAAGGCAGCUUGCUGGGACGUUACUGACGCUAAGGCGCGAAAGCGUGGGGAGCGAACAGG
rnacentral:rRNA from 1 species